rnacentral:rRNA from 1 species
UACGUAGGGGGCGAGCGUUGUCCGGAGUUACUGGGCGUAAAGGGCAUGCAGGCGGUCGGGCGCGUUUGGUGUGACAGCGCAUGGCUCAACUAUGCGAGCAUACGAAAGACGGCCUGACUUGAGGACUCGAGAGGGACACGGAAUUCCGGGUGGAGUGGUGAAAUGCGUAGAGAUCCGGAGGAACACCGAAGGCGAAGGCAGUGUCCUGGCGAGUGACUGACGCUGAGGUGCGAAAGCCAGGGGAGCGAACGGG